CCUACGGGAGGCAGCAGUGAGGAAUAUUGGACAAUGGAGGCAACUCUGAUCCAGCCAUGCCGCGUGUAGGAAGACGGCCCUAUGGGUUGUAAACUACUUUUGUACGGGAAGAAAUACAGUCACGUGUGAUUGUUUGACGGUACCGUAAGAAUAAGCACCGGCUAACUCCGUGCCAGCAGCCGCGGUAAUACGGAGGGUGCAAGCGUUAUCCGGAAUCAUUGGGUUUAAAGGGUCCGUAGGCGGGUAAUUAAGUCAGUGGUGAAAUGCAGGGGCUCAACUCCGGCACUGCCAUUGAUACUGGUUAUCUUGAAUUAUUGUGAAGUGGUUAGAAUAUGUAGUGUAGCGGUGAAAUGCUUAGAUAUUACAUAGAAUACCGAUUGCGAAGGCAGAUCACUAACAAUAUAUUGACGCUGAUGGACGAAAGCGUGGGGAGCGAACAG
rnacentral:rRNA from 1 species